CAGUGCUCGCUACACGUUACUUAGGACUUAUUUUCAAUACAAAAUGAAAUUCUUCAAACUUUCAAUCCGAUGUAUUGUUGCCACAUCCACUACGGUUGCGACUGUCAUUUUGUUACUACUGGGAAACUCGAUCGGCUACAUUAACAGUCUGAUUGUUUUUGCUGCAUUCUCAAUCUGUGGACUGGUGAUCGUUUUCAUUGAACUCGUUUGCAUGUUAGGUGUUUCGAUAUGCAAGACUCAACGUUUAGCGCCUGUGCACAUUGGUCGCAGUUCCAUCAACGAAGAAAUUGUUACCGAAAAUCCUGAACUGACUAAAAGCGAAAGACUCCAGCAAAAUCUGGACCUGUUUCUGCUGAAGAGUAGACUUGGCAAUAUUUGUAAAGCUGGACAACGGGCUCGGAUGCGCAUGAAAAAAACUUAUGUCGUCCAAUACGCUGACCUGAUGACGGACCUGUUUAUGUUUGCGAUUUACUUAACGAUAUUAACGUUGGUUGUGCUAAGCUCCCGGGACCGUUUUGCCUUUUAUAGCAUGCGAUCGUCGGUCAGACAAUUUAUGAGUCAGCGCUACUUCAAUAAUGAAACGCGAGAGCCAAUUGAUAAUGGAUUGCUUCUCGAAUAUUUGGAAUUUGAUUUUUUGCCAACGAUACACACAGCAUCCAGCAAUCGAUCAUCAAACGGUUGGCUAAAGGACGAACGGAUGAAGAUCUUAGGAAUUGCCAGAUUAAGACAACAAAGAGUGAAGAAUGAUGUCUGUAAAUCCAAUGGUUUACUCACGACCAACAAUUGUCUGCCAGUGUUAGAUGAUAAAACUGAAGAUAGAACGAACUAUGACCCGUCCUGGAAAUCUCAGUCAAACAUUCGCUCGAAAGACAAAUAUUGGCGUAUUCUACAGCCGUGGAUCUACCAGAAUUCUUUUGAGUCGCAAACGAUUUCUCAGUUCGGUAAAACUAAGCUGUAUACAGGAGGCGGUUACGUAUGUAAUUUUGGUCGAACCAUGGCCAAUAGUUUGGUAGUUCUCAAGUUUCUAAGAAAACACAACUGGAUCGAUGCACGAACGAGAGUGGUUUUUAUUGAGUUCACCACUUAUGGGGUCGAUUCGAACCUCUUCAACGUAAUUACAUUGAUUGCCGAAAGAACUCAGGUCGGAUACUUCGAAUUGAGCUACAACAUUCAGUCCGUUCAGUUGCUUACGAUCAUUGAAAAUCUGUCUGCAGCCACGAUAUUCAUUUUCAUGUCUUACGUGGCGAUAGUCAUCGCAUUUAUAUGGCGAAUUGUUGUGAAUUUGUUGCAAUCGAACCGGCGGCAAUACUUUACAGAAAUGUGGAACAUUGUCGACCUGAUCAUUGUGGCACAAAGUGUGGGUGUCGUUACAAUAUUUUUCGUUCGAAACGAAUAUGUGCGGUCGUUGCUGCGAUUGUUGGAUGAAACACGAAACAAUGAAUUCGUAAGCUUCGUUUAUGCCGGACUAUUGGAUCAAUUUCUGCUGUGGUGGACUGGUGUCUUGGUCUGCAUCAGUACGAUCCGAAUUUGGAAGAUUUUGAAUUUCAUUUUCAUUUUUCGCGUCUUCUCGACGACACUAGUCAAUGCGGCUAAGGAUCUAGCUGCUUCGACCGUUAUAACGUUCCUGUUUCUUGCAUGCUUCGCUACGCUAUUCUACCAAUUGAAUAGUUCCAAGUCCGCAUCAUUUUCGUCAAUGACAAAAUCCUUUUCGUCCUUGCUUGCCAUUUUAUUCGGGUUCAUCACGGACCGACUGAGUUCUACCGAAAUUUUCUCGGGCAGCAAUUGGCUUGAGUUGCUGCUAUUCAUUGUUUCGCUGAGCGCCAUUGCCAUCUAUCUGAUGAAUAUGAUCAUCACCAUUUCGUGCAAUUACUUUUCGAAUGUGCGUAACGAGGCGAAAUCGAUUGUGCAGGAAAAGUUUUCGUUCUGGGACUUUUUGCGCGGGGAAUUCCACGUGCUCCGAGAUAAACGUACCGCCGGAACAGUAAGGAAUUUGAACUAUGCGUCGGUUAGAAGAAGCAAAGAGCGAUUGGUGCAAUUGGAGAAGAAAUUGAGCAGAACGAUGGAGUCGAUGGAAGAAAUACUUUCUCGUUAAGUAUCGGAGUAUCUUACAUAAAACUGAAAGGAAAGCGAAAGUGAUUUGAUUGUUUGUGUUAGUAGCAUGAGUUUUCAGGUGGAACAUUGAAAUAUUCGUACCACCCGCUUCCAUAUAGUCCGAAGCAAUGCCAUCUAUCUGUCAAUUAUUUACUACAUUUUCAUCAGCUGACUAAAAAAAAAAUCUCUGUGGUUCGGAGUGCUUGGCCACCCUAUAAUAAAUGUCCAAUGACUUAUGUUUACAAUCCCGCUUCAGUGUCAACGGUUUGUUUAUAAAUAUCACGAGUGGAAAAUGGGGAAUUCGAAAUAAAUUUUCCCGAAACCGUUGCAUCUCAACGCUCCAAAUGACAUCACUACUAAAAAAGUCAAUGGAAGACCAAGCAAUCGACCGGAUUUUAGCCGAAAUCGCUCAAAUAAUCUUCAAGUGUAAAUUCUGUGAUUUCAUAACCGACGAGAAACUGCUGUUGGUCGCCCACUACCGUUCCAAUCAUGUCAAAUCGACUCCGACCUACAAUGAUCCGGUGGUCAGCGAACCACCACCAGCAGAACUGGACGAGCGUUACGUGUGUAGUCUGUGUUUUUCCGUGUUCGUGUCCCGGCAAUUAGUGAAAGAUCAUAUGAUUACCGAUCAUGGUUGCAUUCCAAUUGUUCAUGAGCCCAGUCCUCAGCAAAUUGCUCCGCCAUUGGAAGUGGUCGAGCCGAAUAGUAGGAAGGACACGGACAAAGAACUGCAUCGACCGAUAUCGUUGAGGGAGCUGCAAUUGAAGCUGAAAAGUUCAUUUGUAUUGAAGUGCUCGGUUAAAGGCUGUAGUAAGCGCUUUGAAACGGAAGAUAGUAAAUCGUAUCAUGAACGAUGCCAUACCCUCAACAACAACGAAUUCAAAUGCUUUGAAUGUCAGGCUGUCGCUAAGACCUGGCGCAACUGUUCAGCGCAUCUGUACAAACACCACAAAAUCGACGUUGACCUACUCAAGUGCAUUUUCUGCUCGUACAAAG